UAAUUGGACACAGAGGAGGUGUCAUUGGUGCCAAUGAAGUAAGUGCCAAUGAAAUCAGAAAAAUAUUGGAUGUUCACAUUCAAGUAGUUGCUAAUAAAAGUCCCAAACAUUAUACAAAUAAAGAACUCAACAUUUUCAAAAUGAGGAGUUUGGGCUAGAUGACCUCUCAGAAUUUCUUCAAGUAUUUCCGGAUGUUGUGUGUCCUUUGAACCCCAAACUUAAGUUUGCCCAAUCAGAGCUCAUGCUGGCUAACUUUGAGAAGUGGGCACCUGGUAGUAGAAAGAAUGAAUGAAAACAGCAAAUGAAGCAAAUGAAGAACUUGCACCAUAAACCACAUGCACACAAUGGACAGUGGCUGGUUCCAAAAGAGGCUGAAAAAUCUCUGGCAGGGCAGGCCUGCGGAUCUGGGUCCCAUUCUUCCUAAUGACUCUCGUCCGCACUUAAAACUCACCCCUUUUUCAGAUAGUCCAAGUAACUUUACCCACCAGAACACUUCUCCAGACUAUGUGCAUACAUUUCAUCUAUUUGGUUCCUAUUGACAUCAGUGAAAGCCCUCAUGGCAAUAUAUGAGGAUUAAAAUAACCAACUUGCAGACCCACACCAACCACAGCCUAGCACAAUGCUACUAUUUCUGAAAAGUGAAGUAGAGGCUGAAUUUCCACCCUAAGUCAAGUAUGGACCCAAGAAGAUAGAUAUUUAAGGGAGCCUUGUAGCAAUUGCUAUCUCAAAGGGAAAAAUUGCUUUGCAGAGUGGAUGGUCACUUCUGCCUCUUCUAGCUAACUUUGGCUGGGGGCUCUCCAGCCUUUCUCGAAGAGCACACACCUUUACCUUGCUUGCCCUUGAAGCACCGCUCCGCAUUCACCUCGCCUCAUACUGCCUUCCACAGCCCCGCACUGCAGGAGUGGUCAAUGCACCAAACGGAAACUCUCCCCACAGCUCCUGCAGCUCCCCAGCUCCACCCAGUUCUGUUCUGGCUUGUCAUCUCUCCCAACAAGUGGUAGUCUGUCCUUAUAAGCGGAGGGGAGUCAGAGAAGCCCUCCACUUGGAGACAAAGUCUCAGAUUUAUCAUCUGUACCAGGCCGUCCUGGCCUCAUCCUGAAGGUGUCCAUUCGACCAAGCCCAGAUGUUCCGCUGUAAGUUUCACAAAAGAGAAAUCCCCAGGCUUUGAGCCUCAUAAUGAACAUCCCCAAUGAAGGUCUGCAACUUGGGAAGAUGGUAGUCUUUCACAUAAGAAUAACACAUGAGAAAUUCUAUA